CUGGAUGGUUGCAAUACUUGGUGUAGAUGUCCUUUAGAGUGAGCUAACCAGUAGUGGACCUGGUGGUUGCCACUGAUAGACUCUCUCCUUGCUAUGGUGUUAUUCCUGCAUAAAUACUCUCCACAAAGAGAAACCAAAACUCGAGGCUCAAAUUUGUUAAUGGAUUAGCGGUCAGCCAAAGAGUAAUUGAUCACCUUUAAGAGCUAGCUUUAAUGUUGUAUAAUUUAAAUAGGAUUUCAAUUUUCUCUUAUUUUUAUAUUUUCUAUAUAUGAUGCAGGAAUUUAAAUAUGAAUGCUAUAUUUUUUGUCAUUUUUAUUUUAUACCACCACAGCGGAUGUUCCUUUGGAAAAUACCAUAGGGUAUCCACAUGGGGCUUGUGAUGCCAUGAGUAAUGCAGUAAAUAUUUUUUUGUUGUUUUUAUAUCUUUUAGUGUGUAAACAAAAUUAUACUAAUAAAUUACAAAUGCAUUUAAAGUGAUAACUACCAUUCUAACCUUAUGGAUAGGGUACGGAAUUUAAAGUCUACCAACAGGACCUAGAUAGAGGAGAACACUUACUCAGUGGGUUCAUCGUUUGAGGUAACCUCAGUCAACUCCCUGUUUCGCGGUGAUGCCGCACGUGCCUUCUUCCAUCUCGUUUCUGUCUCUUUUGCUUCUCCCUUUUCUCUUUUGCUUCUCCCUUUUCUGGCUCCAGCUCUUCAACUUUAUUCUCUUUCUCCCACGCUUCUAACCGUGCUGAUAACUAGGGGAUGCUCUCCCCCAAGCUAGAUAUUUGCUUAUGGUUGAUCGUUGAAGCUGAGUGGUACUCAUGGAGGAGCUCAUGCUUAUAAGAGCAAGUGUUGCCUGGAAUACUUUAAUCUCAUCACCUAAGAAGUUACUUCAUUCAUACAGGGGUCAGCUGUAUGCAAUGUUAUCCUAAACGCUAAACGGUAAAGAGUCGGUCACGCUUCGUUUAGCGUUUAGACUGUUUAGAUGGUGUUUAAAUAGAUUAAAACGGUCU
rnacentral:lncRNA from 1 species